UGUGCCUUGCUCAGGAAUCUUGGCUCUGCAGUGUCCAUCCCUAGUCUUUAUCUCUUGGACUUUUCAGUAUUUUACUUAAUACUCAAAGGGCACCUAGAGAGGCAGAAAGGAGGUGGGCCUUUGUUGUGUGACUCCUCCUUUUCUGUCUUGCACCUCAAGGCAGGGAGGGUGGAGAGCCCUUCUCUCGGUCCAUCCCUUUUUCCCUCCCUCUUCCUGUGGCCUUGGUAAUGGCUUGAAUUUGACACUCCCGCCUCAGCCUCAGUAGCUGGGUUUACAAAUUCAUUCUUGAUUUUAUUAAACUUUUGGGGAUCUCAUCUGGGAUGGACCCAACUUUUCUCAGGAAAGAGACCUGAGAAUUUACCGUUGGUCUCUGAGUCUUAGCGGUAAAGGGACUUUUUCAUUAGAGUUUUCAGGUUCUCUUUGAUUCCUUUUCUGUCCUAUUCUCAAGGGCCCAAUGUGUCUUAUAAAUACUCAGUAGAUAAUCCUCAAGAUUACUUCUUGUCUUUCCUGUUCGAAUUUGGAACCAGCUGUGCCUCACUACAUGUAUGAAGGUCUGGACACAAGUGUCUGCUGGAAAGGUCGUACAGUACUUUGUGGUUCUGUAACUGAACACAGCGGUUUGCCCCUUGGCUAGUGCAAAGCCAGUAACACAACCAGGGCAUAAAAAGUGGGAAGAGGUUUACUUUUGUUAAGAAAAGAGCAGCAGGAAUGAAUCCUAAAGUGUCUCCCUGGCGAGGGGAUUUUGUCAGGGAGACUUACAAAAACUCAUACUAGAG
rnacentral:lncRNA from 1 species